rnacentral:rRNA from 2 species
AUACAUGCAAGUCGAGCGGACAGAAGGGAGCUUGCUCCCGGAUGUUAGCGGCGGACGGGUGAGUAACACGUGGGUAACCUGCCUGUAAGACUGGGAUAACUCCGGGAAACCGGAGCUAAUACCGGAUAGUUCCUUGAACCGCAUGGUUCAAGGAUGAAAGACGGUUUCGGCUGUCACUUACAGAUGGACCCGCGGCGCAUUAGCUAGUUGGUGGGGUAAUGGCUCACCAAGGCGACGAUGCGUAGCCGACCUGAGAGGGUGAUCGGCCACACUGGGACUGAGACACGGCCCAGACUCCUACGGGAGGCAGCAGUAGGGAAUCUUCCGCAAUGGACGAAAGUCUGACGGAGCAACGCCGCGUGAGUGAUGAAGGUUUUCGGAUCGUAAAGCUCUGUUGUUAGGGAAGAACAAGUGCGAGAGUAACUGCUCGCACCUUGACGGUACCUAACCAGAAAGCCACGGCUAACUACGUGCCAGCAGCCGCGGUAAUACGUAGGUGGCAAGCGUUGUCCGGAAUUAUUGGGCGUAAAGGGCUCGCAGGCGGUUUCUUAAGUCUGAUGUGAAAGCCCCCGGCUCAACCGGGGAGGGUCAUUGGAAACUGGGAAACUUGAGUGCAGAAGAGGAGAGUGGAAUUCCACGUGUAGCGGUGAAAUGCGUAGAGAUGUGGAGGAACACCAGUGGCGAAGGCGACUCUCUGGUCUGUAACUGACGCUGAGGAG